UCACAAAUCUCUUCCUAAAAACUCAGAAGUUUUGAGAUUAAUUUCACAAAUUUUCAAGGGAAAACUCGGAAAAUUUCGGUCGUUCAUAGGUCGCACAUUUGUGGGGAAAUAAAUCAAAUAUUUUCAUGAUUAAAGGCAGAUAUUUUUAACAUUUAAAGUAGGAUAUUUUCCGACAUUGUUAAUUCAGAAAUUUGCAAGAACAAAACUCUGCAAUUUAUUAGAAAAAAACUCUGAAAUUUGCUGAUAUUUUAAAAGCAGAUAUUUCUGACAAAUGAUGCCUGAAGUCCUCUGAGAUUGAAGUAGCAAAUUAACGAGAUGCGCUUCUAGACGUUUCCCAAAGUCUGCGGUCGCUACAUGCGCUCUCUCUUCCUUGAUGAGGUUGACUUCUCUCGGGUGCAGAAUUGACAUUAUCCGCCUCGGACUUAUCAUCGUUUGUGAGGAAGAACCUUCCACAUGGCUGCAUCAAAAACGCGCGGAGUGACCACUGUGUCCGAAUUUCUUCGUGAGCGCAGAGUUCCAGAAGAAGUCAUCAACCGUUUGGAAGAGGAAAAGACCUGGAUCUGAAAUGACGCCCAUGACGGAUGAUCUAAUUAAAUUAUACUUCUCCAUUGGAUUUAGUAACAAAGAGAUACUAAUGUUAU